UGUUUUAGUCUAGUUAGAGGAACCUGUUUUAUAAACGAUACAACACGCAUUAUUUUACUUAUUUUAGUAAAUCAGCUUGUAUACCGUCAUUAUAAGAUAAUUUAGGAGAAAAUAUUAUUGAGAUCAUAUUAUUGAGUAUAUUAGAUCAAGGUGCAGCUUAUAAGUAAGUAAAUAUGGGUUACAAUAAAAUUUAUUUAAUAUGAAUUAAGUAUUUAAAUAAACUUAUGAAGGAGGAUUUAAUUGUAAGGAAAGGAGUAGUGAGAUUUUCUGAUAUAAGCUCUAAAUUAU
rnacentral:rRNA from 1 species